rnacentral:rRNA from 1 species
AGUGAACGCUGGCGGUAGGCCUAACACAUGCAAGUCGAACGGCAGCACAGUAAGAGCUUGCUCUUACGGGUGGCGAGUGGCGGACGGGUGAGGAAUACACCGGAAUCUACUUUUUCGUGGGGGAUAACGUAGGGAAACUUACGCUAAUACCGCAUACGACCUACGGGUGAAAGCAGGGGAUCUUCGGACCUUGCGCGAUUGAAUGAGACGAUGUCGGAUUAGCUAGUUGGCGGGGUAAAGGCCCACCAAGGCGACGAUCCGUAGCUGGUCUGAGAGGAUGAUCAGCCACACUGGAACUGAGACACGGUCCAGACUCCUACGGGAGGCAGCAGUGGGGAAUAUUGGACAAUGGGCGCAAGCCUGAUCCAGCCAUACCGCGUGGGUGAAGAAGGCCUUCGGGUUGUAAAGCCCUUUUGUUGGGAAAGAAAAGCAGCAGGUUAAUACCCCGCUGUUCUGACGGUACCCAAAGAAUAAGCACCGGCUAACUUCGUG